rnacentral:rRNA from 1 species
AUGAAAAUAAUAACCUGGAACUGCCGGGGGCUCGGGAAUGGCCCGGCAGUUCGUUCCCUCCUUGAACUAGGUAGGGUGGAGGAUCCCGAUGUGUUGUUUUUAUCUGAAACACGGCUGUAUGAGAAGGAGUUGCAACACUUAAGGUGGAAGCUAGGGCUAGUGAACCUGUCGGUGUGGAACCCGGAGGGGAGGAGUAGAGGUAUUGCGAUGUUUUGGCGAAGGGGUGUCGAUGUUACACUUAGAUCUUUUGGAAGAAGGCAUGUAGAUGUAGAUGUGAAGGAAGGUAAUAAGCCUGUAUGGAGACUCACAGGCGUGUAUGGAGAAUCAGUUACAAAGAGGAAAAAGGAAACUUGGAGAACUCUGAAGUUACUCAAACAGCAGCAUCAACAAGGGCGGCCCUGGAUCUGUGUUGGUGAUUUUAACGAGAUUUUGUCGGAGGUAGAGAAGGUGGGUGGUGCUCCUAGGGCUCAACAUAUGAUGAACGGAUUUAGGGAGGCGCUGGAGGUGUGUGAGUUGGCUGACCUAGGGUUUGAGGGGGAUAUUUUCACUUGGAGGAAUCAUAGCAAAGAUCUAAACACAUAUAUCUGCUAG